AGGGUCUUCUGGGGGAAGGCAGACCCAGUUACCCAUUUGUUUGGAGGUGUGUGAGCAUGUGUGUUUGUGUGAGUGUGUGUAUGAGAUUUUUUCCAGAUAAGCUUCUGUUCUUCUGCAUUAAAAUAAUAGCCUAAUUAAUUUUCAUAUUCGCCUGACUGUGCAUCUAAGCCUGUGUCACAGGAGGAAAUUACUAAUAGGGUACGUGCCAAUUUGCAGGGUGCAUACUGCAGCCUGCAGCAGGAAGGUCGGAGCUUUGUGUGCCCGACAAUGGAGGGAGUCAGCCGCGGAGGCUGAUUACUUAGGCAGCCUCCAGACAGAUCCCCCAGCCCAUUGAAAUUCCAAUCAUUUCCACGUAAUAUUCCCAUCUAGAUAAUUGUCAACUGGCCCUUAUCAUUAUUUAUUAUGCAAAAUUGAAUUUUUUUGAAGCGUGAAGAGUGAAGUAAUUCCAUAUGCAAACAGCUCAGGCUCUCCUGUGUAUUCUGAUUACGUACAUGUUGAUAAAUUCACUUAUGAUGAGUGACAGCGUGAGGUUUUGGGGUCAGAUCGGUCAAUCCGUGGAAGAUGCUGAUGAAAAUGACUAACUAAAUGCCAGCAGAGUCCCUCACACACCUCAGGAUGAGCAUGCAGAAUGCCGGUGUCGAGCCUGCAUCUAUUAAUAACUAAGUAUGAUUGCAUGUAACGAGCAGAGAGCUUCCUGGUGAUUGAAGUGCAAUAGUUUUGAUCUUCCAGAUGUCGCUGCUUAGAAAUUCACAUUGCUCUCUUACUGAUAGAUGUGGGAUGACCUUCUCAGACCUCUUGCUGUUGAAACCCCUAUUGUUCCCAGCCCUCGAGUCAAGCUGGGGCAUGCGUCUCCUCUGGCCUUGGCUGAUGCGUUGUCCUCUGCCUCGUUCUACUCGUGAAGUCCUUCACUAUGAGGCCAUAUGGGUGGGUGGUGAUGUUGGUGUGAUGUACAUCCUCACAGGUCAUGUUCACCUCUUUACCCUGGGACUGACAGCUGGCCUAAGCACAGAGAUGAGAUCUUCAGGAGGGACAGGCUCAUGGUUUGCCCUCAGCGCCUGACUCAGUGUUGCCCUUGGUUUGAAGCCUUGGAAGAAGAAGGUGGGAAAGCCCAGUCUAGGGCCAUUUUAGGGUUAGGCAGUUAGCCUCAUGGGAGCUCAAGGGUAGAGCUCAGAGUUCAGAGAAGGACUUGUCUUGAUAACCCAAGGAACCCAUUCUCUGGGUAUGGGGUUGUGACUAGGUUUUGAAGAAAACGGAGGUCCUUCAGCAGAGUCAGGAAAGCAACAUGAGGUUUUGGACAGGGCAUCAGCAGUAUCAUUAUUUGUUUGCUCCCACCCUCCUGCUGCAGUAUGCACCCUGAAAAUUGGCACAUACCCUAUUUAUUCCUUCCACAGAGACAUCAUCAGAAAGGUUCCUGUCCCGGGCUGGGGGACAUGAAGAUGUGUCAGGUGCCGUCCAAUAGAAAUGAGAGGCACAAAGUAGGGCUCAAAGGGGAAGGCUAUACAUGAAAGCAGUUGUUGACAGUGGCAAGGGUUGGCUGACUCAAUCAGUCCAGUGUGUGUGUGCGUGUGUGUGUGUGUGUGUGUGUGUGUGUGUGUGUGUGUGUGUGUGUAAGAAUUGACAACACUGGCUUUGGACAGACUAGCAAUAGGACUUCAUUCUUAUGAAAUCCUUACGAAGCUACAAGUUCUUGCUAAAGAGAUUUUUAUAGAUGGAUUUGGAAUAACCAGUGUUUAUGUGACCAAAGCUUUGGUCCAAACAGACCCAAAAGUUAACAUCAGUUGAUUACCACAGGAUUGUGUGUCUGCAAGACAACAUGAGCCUCAAAGGGCAGUGGUUCUCAACCUGGGGGUCUUGACCCCUUUGAGGGUUGAAUGACCCUUUCACAGCAGUUGCAUAUCAGACACCCUGAGUAUCAGAGAUUUACAUUAGGAUUCAAAACAGUAGCAAAAUUACAGCUAUGAAAUAGCAGCAAAAAUGAUUCUUAUGGUUGGGAAUCACUACAAUAUGAGGAACUGUGUUAAAGGUCACAGCAUUAGGAAGGUUGAGAAUCACUGUUCAAAGGGACCAGCCUGGCUCAGCAGAUAACUCCCUAAAGGCUCUGUUUAAGCACAGUGACCUCACUCUGUACCCAAGUCAUUAUUAGAGUUAUUCUUUUAGAAAUGCUUCUUUAGCCUAAGAAGGCAAAGUUCAUGUGUUUCUGUGUGAGUGUCGUUCUCAUAGAGACCAGAAGAGGGUAUCAGAUUCCCUUGUAGUUACAGCAGUUCUGAAUCACCCAUUGUGGUGGCUGGGAACUGAACUUGGGUCCCCUGGAAGAUCUAAGUGGUAAGGCAUCUCUCUAGCCCCAAGUGACUCCUGCCAGGUCAAGUCCCUACAGCCUGCUGGGGGUUCCUGUGCCCUGAAAGCUAUGCUUAACCCUAAAACCUUAGGGUCCACGAAUGUGGUAUUUAGAAACAUGGCCUUUGCAGAUAGGACGAAGGUAAGAUGGGUCAUUAGGGUGACUGGGGUCUUUAUUCUAAGGUCAUGAGAAGGUAUGGACAUACAGACAGACACGGAUGUCACUGGAUGGAAACAGUGGAUUGUUGGAUAUGAGUAUUACCGGAGUAGCAGAGCCUCCCUGCCCUUGACUUCAGAUGUCCUGCCUCUAAUGAUUUGAGAGGAGACUUCUAUCACACAAACUUCAAACCAACUCCUUCAGAUAUUCUGGAUUAUAACUGCCUUGGCACAGCCUCUACCAACAGAAAACAAAGUAGCCAAGGUGCCAGCAACCAAACAACAGAGAAGGCAACAGUAGAGACAAUGUUUUAAGGGUGAG